AUUGAACGCUGGCGGCAUGCUUUACACAUGCAAGUCGAACGGCAGCGCGGGCUUCGGCCUGGCGGCGAGUGGCGAACGGGUGAGUAAUGCAUCGGAACGUGCCCAGUAGUGGGGGAUAGCCCGGCGAAAGCCGGAUUAAUACCGCAUACGACCUGAGGGUGAAAGCGGGGGACCGAAAGGCCUCGCGCUAUUGGAGCGGCCGAUGUCGGAUUAGCUAGUUGGUGGGGUAAAGGCUUACCAAGGCGACGAUCCGUAGCUGGGCGGAGAGGACGACCAGCCACACUGGGACUGAGACACGGCCCAGACUCCUACGGGAGGCAGCAGUGGGGAAUUUUGGACAAUGGGGGCAACCCUGAUCCAGCCAUGCCGCGUGCGGGAAGAAGGCCUUCGGGUUGUAAACCGCUUUUGUUCGGGAAGAAAUCCUCUGGGCUAAUACCCCGGGGGGAUGACGGUACCGGAAGAAUAAGCACCGGCUAACUACGUG
rnacentral:rRNA from 1 species